rnacentral:misc_RNA from 1 species
AAGUCGUAACAAGGUUUCCGUAGGUGAACCUGCGGAAGGAUCAUUACAAGUGAGGCUACCGAACGGGAACAGCGGUUAGGAGCUUACACCCACCCGGUUUACAUACUAUUGUUGCUUUGGCGGCGUGGCCUCCACUGCGGGCUCUGCUCGGUGGCCCGCCAGAGGACCAACUCUGAAUGUUGUGAUGUCUGAGUACUAUCUAAUAGUAAAA